UAGAGUUUGAUCCUGGCUCAGGACGAACGCUGGCGGCGUGCUUAACACAUGCAAGUCAAGGGGGCCCAGCAAUGGGCAACCGGCGAACGGGUGCGUAACACGUGAGCAACCUACCGAAAUGCGGGGGAUAGCCGGCCUAACGGCCGAGUAAUACCGCAUACGCUCUUUAUGAGGCAUUUCAUGGAGAGGAAACCUACGGGGUAUUUCGAGGGGCUCGCGGCCUAUCAGCUAGUUGGCGAGGUAACGGCUCACCAAGGCAACGACGGGUAGCUGGUCUGAGAGGAUGGCCAGCCACAUUGGGACUGAGAUACGGCCCAGACUCCUACGGGAGGCAGCAGUGGGGAAUCUUGCGCAAUGGCCUAACGGCUGACGCAGCGACGCCGUGUGUGGGAUGAAGCUCUUCGGAGUGUAAACCACUGUUGCCCGGGACGAAUAGCUCGAUUAAUCGAGCCUGACGGUACCGGGUGAGGAAGCACCGGCUAACUCCGUGCCAGCAGCCGCGGUAAUGCCCA
rnacentral:rRNA from 1 species